AUGAUCCAAACAAAGCUCACACACUUACUAGUCACUACCUCACUCAAACGCACCAAAUCAUUUUUUCUCCUACGAAAGUUCCAACCACUUCCCAUAGCUUCCUUCUUUGACCAUAACACUAUCCCAAUCCCAAAACCCCCUUUCACCUUACAAUCCCUAACACUCUCAUUUUCCCAUUUGGUCUUUCUCUCUUUCUAUUUGGUUUCACAACCUAAUCCUCGAAUCCUCGUACCCAGAGUGAAAGUUUCCGUUUUUGGUGCUGGGUAA